rnacentral:rRNA from 1 species
GUGGGGAAUAUUGGACAAUGGGCGAAAGCCUGAUCCAGCCAUGCCGCGUGUGUGAAGAAGGUCUUCGGAUUGUAAAGCACUUUAAGUUGGGAGGAAGGGCAGUAAGUUAAUACCUUGCUGUUUUGACGUUACCGACAGAAUAAGCACCGGCUAACUUCGUGCCAGCAGCCGCGGUAAUACGAAGGGUGCAAGCGUUAAUCGGAAUUACUGGGCGUAAAGCGCGCGUAGGUGGUUCAGCAAGUUGGAGGUGAAAUCCCCGGGCUCAACCUGGGAACUGCCUCCAAAACUACUGGGCUAGAGUACGGUAGAGGGUAGUGGAAUUUCCUGUGUAGCGGUGAAAUGCGUAGAUAUAGGAAGGAACACCAGUGGCGAAGGCGACUACCUGGACUGAUACUGACACUGAGGUGCGAAAGCGUGGGGAGCAAACAGGAUUAGAUACCCGGGUAGUCC